rnacentral:rRNA from 1 species
UACAGAGGGUGCGAGCGUUAAUCGGAAUUACUGGGCGUAAAGCGCACGUAGGCGGCUUUGUAAGUCGGUUGUGAAAUCCCCGGGCUCAACCUGGGAACUGCAUCCGAAACUACAUUGCUAGAGUAUGGGAGAGGGAGGCGGAAUUUCCGGUGUAGCAGUGAAAUGCGUAGAUAUCGGAAGGAACAUCAGUGGCGAAGGCGGCCUCCUGGACCAAUACUGACGCUCAGGUGCGAAAGCGUGGGGAGCAAACAGGAUUAGAUACCCUGGUAGUCCACGCCCUAAACGAUGAGAACUGGAUGUCGGGAGGGUUUGCCUUCCGGUGUCGUAGCUAACGCGAUAAGUUCUCCGCCUGGGAAGUACGGCCGCAAGGUUG